ACAUUGGUGGUUCAGUGGCAGAAUUCUCACCUUCCAUGUGGGAGACCCGGAUUGGAUUCCUGGCGAAUGCA
rnacentral:tRNA from 1 species